CAAAAUGAAUUCUCUUGGCUGUAGAGCCUCUGAAUGCCUUGAGGAGGAAUGUCAAGCUGUCUUUGGUGCUGAAACCAACUGUACCAGCACAUGAAGUUAAAAGACUAUCUUUGCAGAAUUGAUCCUCAAUAGCUGAGCUGGAGGAUUGGAAGGCUUUGAUACAUGCUGCCCUACUGCAAGAACAGGAAAGCUGACUACAGUUGUCAGACAAGAUGUUACUUCAUUUACAAUGAUGCUUGGUGCAGAAAACAAGUUAAGUGCAGCUAAAGCAGAGCCUCUAUAGAAGGCUAUCCAUAAGCAGGAAUGAAAACUGAAGUUUUCCAGUGAUCUGACCCAAAGCCACUGUUAUGAAUUUAUGGCCACCAUUGCAUUUGAGAACAUGCACAAAACACCUGAUUCAAUGCAUCUCAUACAUGAGCAAUACUUACUACUCCAAGUCUGCUGAAGCAAACGGGACUCUUUCAGGUUCUCCAAUGAAGUUUUGCCUGGGAUUUGCAGCUGUGG